rnacentral:hammerhead_ribozyme from 1 species
ACUAGCUGACGAGUCCAAAAUAGGACGAAAUGCGUUUUAUCCUUGAU